ensembl:snRNA U6 U6 spliceosomal RNA
UGCUGAUUCUUCGGCAGCACAUAUACUAAAAUUGUAAUGAUACAGAGAAGAUUAGCAUGGCCCCUCCGCAUAUUAUUUAUUUACAGGAGUUCAACCCCUAU